rnacentral:rRNA from 1 species
GGCUUGAUACCCUCGUAGUCCAUGCCGUAAACGAUGUGUGUUAGACGUUGGAAAUUUAUUUUCAGUGUCGCAGGGAAACCGAUAAACACACCGCCUGGGGAGUACGACCGCAAGGUUAAAACUCAAAUGAAUUGACGGGGACCCGCACAAGUAGUGGAGCAUGUGGUUUAAUUCGAAGAUACGCGCAGAACCUUACCAACACUUGACAUGUUCGUCGCGACUCUAAGAGAUUAGAGUUUUCGGUUCGGCCGGACGAAACACAGGUGCUGCAUGGCUGUCGUCAGCUCGUGUCGUGAGAUGUUGGGUUAAGUCCCGCAACGAGCGCAACCCUCACUUUUAGUUGCCAUCAUUAAGUUGGGCACUCUGAAAGAACUGCCAGUGAUAAGCUGGAGGAAGGUGGGGAUGACGUCAAGUCCUCAUGGCCCUUACGUGUUGGGCUACACACGUGCUACAAUGGUAUCUACAACAGGAAGCAAGACUGCGAAGUUAAGCAAAUCCCUAAAAGAUACCUCAGUUCGGAUUGCACUCUGCAACUCGAGUGCAUGAAGCUGGAAUUACUAGUAAUCGUGGAUCAGCGUGCCACGGUGAAUGCGUUCCCGGGUCUUGUACACACCGCCCGUC